AGUGUCUGUUUUGGAGGAUGAUGAAGCCAGAACUGCAUGCAGCUGCCUCAGUGAAUGUAGCUCAGUAAAGUAUGAUUGGAAACUUUCUUAUGCAAAAAUAAAUACCAGUAUCAAAUCCUUAUUUGAAAUCGGAAACAUUUCAACUGUAAGGGACAAGUCGGGACUCGUAAUGGUACACAUUUUCUUUAAAGAAAACCAGUUUGAAAAAAUCAUGAAGGACCGUUUAUUCUAUUUCACGGACCUGGUAGCAUAUAUUGGCGGACUUCUUGGAGUGUUCCUAGGUUUCAGCAUUUUAAGCUUUAUUGAGCUGAUUUAUACAAUAACCAUAUGUAUAAUAAAUGGUGUUGCUCGGUAUUGUAACAAGCCUUACCCAUUUUUAAACUAAUUGAUUUUGAGUAGGAUUACAUUAAAUGAAACCGUGUGUGUUUUUAUUAGAAAGGUUUUGCUGGUGUAGUUUUUUGAAGAAGAAAGUAUAUUUCUCAAUCUUACAUGUAGAAACAUUGUGUGAUUGCCCAAAUAACCACAUUUCUAUAUGGUUAUACAUAUAUAUUAACAUUUCUGAAACAAAAUCUCAACUUCAAGUGACAAAACACCAAUUCAUGAAUUUCUGCUUCUUGAAAAUCACUUAUUUUUUAUUCUGAAAUUUCAAAGAAGACUGUUGUAACUUUCUACCUCAUUCAAA
rnacentral:lncRNA from 1 species